AAUAAAAGAAAAGAAGACGAUUCCCUUACCUAUAAAAGUCAAGGGGAUGCAAGCCAGAGGGGGAUCUUUUUCAAAAAGCCGAGAGAGCAAAUUUUGGAAAGCGGAAGCCGAGACUGAAGAUUUUCUUUCUUUCCUUGUUUCCGUUUGUAUCAAUUUUUUUUGUAAUAUAUUUCAAAAAGUUUAUCAAAUAAAAAGAGUGUUGUGCUUUCUUUCAAUAUGAGUAGCUAAUUUUAUUAAGCUGAGGUGAAGGGUGAAGCUCAAUGUUUCAAACUAUUAAUUAUUAUUAUUUUCUCAAAGGAGUUUUUUAAAUUCUUUUCGAAUUAUUUUAUAUCAUGUUAAUUUAUAAAUCUCACUGGAUUUUAUAGUAUUUUGACAUAAUGUCGACACAUUAAUAUAGUGUGACACAUUACGUACUUUAUUCUAUAUUUAUCCACAUACAUAAAAUUAAAUGAUAUAAUAAUUAAUUGGUAAAAGUGAGGCAAAAUAUAAAUGACAGAGUAUUAAAAUUACAGUUUGAAUACAGAGAGUGGAUCCUAAACCUUAGCUUGAUUUCAAAUAAUUUCUUUUCCCCACAAUUAAUUUUCUUAGUUUUACUAGAUUUAAAACUCCAUGUGGUUCGACCCCGGUCUCACCGGAUUAUAUUAUAACUAGACACUCUUAUACUUGAGAAUAAUACACUUUUGAGUCGUGUCAAAUUUUUAGCGCCGUUGCCAAGGAGUUUUCUAAAUUUGGUAUUAGUUUGUCUUUACUUUAUUUUUAUUUUUUUAAUAUAUUUUUUUUGUUUUGUCAUUACCUUCUUUCCGUAAUUCUAUUUUAUUCUCUUUUUGUAAAACUUCAGUUAGCACCCCUCUUCUUUUCAAACCUUAACAUUAUCCAUAAAAUUUGUGAGAAACUUCAUCUUAGCCCAAAAACCCUUGCAAAUCAGUCCCCAAAUCAAAUUUAUUUCUUUAAAUUUUUGCAAUUUACUUUCCGCAUUUAUUUUAAAUGGUCGGUUCUAUCGCCUAACUGUUAUUUAAAUUUUGUUAAUUUAUGUAUUUUUAUUUAUAUGGUCGGUUCUACCGCCUAGCAUUUUAAUUUCAGUUUAUUUAUUUUUGUGCAUUAAUUAAUUUAAUUUUAUGUUUUAUUAUAUGGCUGGUUUUAAANNNNNNNNNNNNNNNNNNNNNNNNNNNNNNNNNNNNNNNNNNNNNNNNNNNNNNNNNNNNNNNNNNNNNNNNNNNNNNNNNNNNNNNNNNNNNNNNNNNNAGAGUUUCAAUUUUUUUAGUGCAGAGAGGGCUCCCAAUGAAAAUUUUUCGGAGCACGCCAUUGAGGAGGCCCUGCAAGCACAAUUUUUAAAAAAAAUUCUUCCCACCCCACAGAACAAAUUCUUUCAAAAGAAAAAUCAUCACUUUCACUCAAAAACUAGGAGAAACUCUCUACCAAUGUUGGGAUAGGUUUAAAGAACUACUUAACAUUUGCCCACAUCACAGUUUUGAAACAUGGAUAUUAGUGUCUUAUUUCUACGAGGGAUUAACAUCCCAAGGUAGACAAGUAAUUGAAAUGAUGUGUAAUGGUGAGUUUAGGGAUAAAAGUCCUGAAGAUGCAUUAGACUAUCUUGACUAUAUAGUAGAAAAUGCACAACACUGGGAUACAGUUGGUUCUUAUGAGUCGUCAAGUAAACCCAAGUCAUCUCUAUCUGGUGGAGGCAUGCAUAACCUUAGGGAAGACCAUGAUUUUCAAGCCAAAUUUGCAUCAUUAGCUAGAAAAGUUGAAGCAUUGGAGUCGAAAAAAAAAUGAUCAUGUAAAGUCUGUUCAAAAUAUUUCAUGUUAUGUUUGCGAUUCUACUGACCAUUCUACGCAGGACUGUCCAACUUUACCAGCUCUGAGAUAAAGUCUGCAUGAACAAGUAAAUGUCAUUGACAAUUUCAAAAGGCCAAAUCCAAAUCCAUACUCCCAAACUUACAACUUUGGUUGGAGAAACCGCCCAAAUUUCGGUUGGACAAAUGACAAUCAUGCACAACCUUCACAAUCAGUUCCUCCACGUCAAAAUUUUCAAAACUCCCAGAGUUACCCACCAUAGGUCCCACCACCAAGAAAAACUCUAGAAGACACAUUGCAUUCGUUUAUUGAAAAACAAGAGUCGAUCAAUAACCAAACGAUGCAAACCUUAACCAAUUUGACAGAAACUAUCUCCAAACUUACAUCUGUUCUGACCAUACAUGAAAAAGAAAAGUUUCAUGCUCAACCUUAACCAAACCCCAAGAGUCAACAACAUCCUCAAAUGGGAAAUUCAGGAAACCAAAAUAUGAGUUAAGUCAAAUCGGUUAUAACCCUUCGUGGUGGUAAAGUAGUCGAAAAACACAUUGUGGACCCUCGUGAAACUAGUAAAGAUUCAAUUUCAGAAAAUAGGGAAGAGUCUGUCGAACCUUUAAACUAUGAAGAAAUAACCAACUCUCCUCUUGUACCCCCAUUUCCUCAAGCACUGAUCAAGCCAAAGAAAUCAAACCACAGUCCAGAAAUUUAUGAAGUUUUUAAACAAGUUAAGGUCAACAUUCCUCUACUGGAUGUCAUUAACAGGUGCCUUCUUAUGCUAAAUUUCUGAAAGAUCUGUGCACAGUGAAAAGGAAACAUAAGGUGCAAAAGAGAGCUUUUCUAGCAGAACAGGUAAGUUAUAUUCUCUCAACCAAUAGUGCUUUGAAAUACAAGGAUCCUGGUUGUCCAACUAUUUCUUGCACUAUUGAGGAUCAUAAAAUUGGACAUGCUUUACUUGAUCUUGGUGCUAGUGUUAAUUUGCUUCCUCACUCAGUGUACCAACAACUCAAUCUCGGUGAGUUUAAACCAACUUCUACCACUCUUUUACUUGCUGAUAGAUCGAUUAAGGUUCCAAAAGGAAUAAUUGAAGAUGUAUUAGUCCAGGUCGAUAAAUUCAUAUAUCCUAUGGAUUUAAUUGUUCUGGAAACGGAACCAAUUGCUAAUGACUGCAAACAAAUUCAUGUUAUUUUGGGUCGACCAUUUUUAGCUUCUGCUAAUGCUUUGAUAACUCGCAUGAAUGGAUUAAUGAACUUAUCUUUCGGCAACAUGACACUGGAACUCAAUGUGUUCAACAUGUGUAAACAACCUCACCACCAAGAAGAUGAUGAUCAUGAGAAUGAGGAAAUUGAUCUCAUCAAGCCAAUCAUUGAGGAACACAUUCAGGAUGAGAAUUUUACAAACUCUGUUGAAAUUUGUUUUGCUGGUUCUUUUGAAUCAAGUAAAGAAUUAGAUUAUGAUACUACUAACACAUGUCCUACACUUGAUUAUAUGCAGGUACCUAUAGGUGACGAUUACCAAUCGAACUUUGAAGAUACGGUGCAACCUGAAGAACCAAACGAAGAGGAAGCACCAGAGCUCGAAUUAAAGCCCUUACCAGAAGAAUUGAAGUAUGCUUAUCUUGGAGAGCAGCAGAUAUAUCCGGUGGUAAUUUCUUCUCAGCUCACGCAUGAUCAAGAAGGUAAGUUGUUAUCUGUACUAAAAAGGCAUAAAACUACAUUUGGUUGGACCUUAAAAGACAUAAAAGGCAUUAAUUCUUUAAUUUGCACACACCGAAUACACUUAGAGGAAAAUGCCAAAACAACUCGUCAACCACAAAGAAGACUAAACCCUCAUAAGAAAGAAGUGGUAAAGAAUGAGGUCCUUAAACUACUAGAUGUAAGAAGUAUCUACCUUAUCUCUGAUAGUAAAUAGGUAAGUCCAAUUCAAGUAGUACCAAAGAAAUCUGGAAUAACUGUUGUAAAAAAUGAAAAAGGUGAACCAAUCCCAACACGAAUUCCAUCUAGUUGGCGCAUGUGCAUUGAUUACAGAAAAUUAAAUUAUGCCACUAGAAAAGAUAAUUUUCCCCUUCCAUUUCUAGACCAAAUUCUCGAAAGAGUAGUUGGACAUCCCUACUACUGCUUUCUUGAUAGCUACUCUGUCUAUUAUCAAAUCCCUAUAGCCUUAGAAGACUAGGAAAAUACCACAUUCACAUGCUCAUUUGGAACAUUUGCAUUUAGGAGAAUGCCCUUUGGACUUUGUAAUGCUCCUGCAACAUUUCAAAGGUGCAUGCUAAGCAUUUUUAGUGACAUGGUUGAAAAUUGUCUAGAGGUUUUUAUGGAUGAUUUAACUGUAUUUGGUAAUUCUUUUGAUACAUGUCUUGAUAAUCUAGAAAAAGUUUUGGAAAGGUGCAAAGAAAAAGGACUAGUUUUAAAUUGGGAAAAUUGUCAUUUCAUGACCACUUCUGGAAUUGUCUUAGGCCAUAUUGUGUCUUCAAAAGGAAUCGAAGCUAAUAAAGCCAAAGUUGAAGUCAUUUCGAAAUUUCCCUCACCAAAGACAAUUAGAGAAGUCUGUUCUUUUUUAGGACAUGCAGGGUUUUAUAGGAGGUUUAUAAAAGAUUUUAGUGCCUUAUCUAGACCAAUUUGUAACCUCCUAAUAAAAUAUACACAAUUUGAAUGGACUAAAUAUUAUCAACAAGCUUUUGAAAAGAUAAUUAGUCUUUUGACAUCAGCCCCAAUAAUACAACCCCUUGAUUGGUCUUUACCUUUUGAGCUAAUGUGUGAUGCUAGUGAUUAUGUCGUUGGCGUUGUUUUGGGUCAAAGAAAGGAAAGUAAGCCCUUUGUCAUCUAUUAUGCAAGUAGAACUUUGAAUAGUGUUCAAAUGAAUUACACUACAACUGAGAAAGAACUACUUACUGUAAUAUUUGCAUUGGAUAAAUUUCGUUCGUAUUUAAUUGGUUCAUCUACUGUUGUUUAUUCUGAUCAUGCUGCUGUGAAAUAUUUAAUGUCAAAACAGGAUGCCAAACCAAGGUUGAUACGAUGGAUUUUGCUACUUCAAGAAUUUAAUUUGAUAAUUGAGGACAAAAAGGGCGCUGAAAAUGUUGUUGCAGAUCAUCUUUCAAGACUUACAAAUGAGUCUUCAAUUGAAACAACACCCAUCAAUGAUUCUUUCCCUGAUGAAUUUUUGUUUUCUAUAAACAAAAUGCCUUGGUAUGCUAAUAUUGUUAAUUAUCUUGCAACAGGUGAAAUGCCAUGUGACUGGAGUUCCCAAGACAAGAAGAGAUUCUUAAUAGAAGUAAAAAACUUUUACUGGGAUAAACCAUACAUGUUCAAGUACUGCUCUGAUCAAAUUUUUCGAAGAUGCAUACCAGACGACGAGGUAAGUAGGGUCAUUAAAUUUUGUCAUUCUGAAACAUGCGGUGGCCAUUUUUCUUCAAAAAAGGCAAUUGCAAAAAUAUUGCAGUGUGGAUUUUAUUGGCCUACAUUAUUUAAAGAUUCACAUGCAUUCUGUAAAAUGUGUAAGAAUUGUCAAAUGGUAUGAUCUAUUUCAAAGCGAAACAUGAUGCCUUUAAACCCCAUCCUUGUCAUUGAAAUAUUUGAUUGUUGGGGAAUUGAUUUUAUGGGCCCUUUUCCAUCAUCAUUUGGAUUUAUAUACAUUUUGGUUGCUGUUGAUUAUGUUUGAAAAUGGAUCGAGGCGAUUCCUUGUCGACACAAUGAUCACAAGAUUGUGAUCCGCUUUUUAAAAGAAAAUAUUUUGAGCAGAUUUGGAAUACCUCAAGCCAUUAUCAGUGAUGGAGGUAAGCAUUUUUGUAAUAAGCCAUUUGAGUCCUUAAUGAAGAAAUAUGGAAUUACACAUAAGGUUGCUACCCCUUAUCACCCUCAAACAAGUGGUCAAGUUGAAUUAGGAAAUAGGGAGAUAAAACAAAUUUUAGAAAAGACAGUUAAUCCAAACCGUAAAGAUUGGUCUCUUUGACUAAUUGAUGCACUUUGGGCAUAUCGUACUGCUUUUACAACAUCUUUAGGAAUGUCACCCUAUCGGCUUGUUUAUGGAAAAUCUUGCCACUUACUAGUAGAACUUGAACAUAAAUCAUUUUGGGCCAUUAAAGCUUUUAAUUCAAAUCUUGAUAAUGCUAGCAAUGUGCGUAAAUUGCAAAUAAAUGAACUUGAGGAAUUAAGGAAUGAUGCAUAUGAGAAUUCCAGAAUUAUUAAGGCAAGAACUAAAUUUUUUCAUGACAAAAGAAUUUUUCAGAAAACAUUUGAAAUUGGUCAAAAAGUGUUGCUUUAUAAUUCUUGUCUUCAUUUAUUUCCAGGGAAGUUAAAGUCAAAGUGGAAUGGUCCAUUUGUUGUAAAAAAUGUGUAUCCAUAUGGAGCCGUAGAAAUUGAGAAUCCAAAUGAUGGUGUCACAUUUAAAGUUAAUGGCCAAAGAUUGAAACCAUAUCUGGAAUACCAACUACAUGAAGCAGAUACCGAAAUCCAGUUGAGUGACCCACCAAAAUUUUGAUUAAGCCUUUUCAUUUUAACAUUUUGUGAAUUUGAUUUACCGUCACUUUAUCGUUUGAAUUAUUUAAUUUUUUUUCCUUUUCCCUAUGUCUUGAAUGGAGUGCAUUGCAUUGUUUUAAUUAUGUAUUGUUUUUAUACUUGUCAUGAGUACCUCCAUGAGAAAUUUCCUUCUCGAUCAUCUUAAAAUGCUUUUUCAUGUAAAAUUUCACCUGAGGAAAUUGCUCCGAUUUUAUAAAUUACAUCCCAUUUGGGAUCUGCAACCACCAGAGUUAGUAUCUCACGUGAAAGAUCAUGAAAGACAACUCAAGAAAAUAGAGGAUGGUAUUUAUAAUCUGCAAUUGGAACUGGAUUCAAUAAAAGGACGAAGGUGAGUUAUAUUCCUUGUGUGUUUUUGUUUUAUUGUUCUUUUUCACUUUUGAUUUGAUUUGAUUUUGCAGAUUUGAUUCGUUUUGUUUUGAUAUUACUCUUCCGUGUAAAUGGCGGAUAACGGUACUCCGUGACUUUUUAAGUCGGUAUUCUCAGUUUCCCACAAUAACUGAAACCUCAAUGUCAAGCAUGGAAGCAAUACAACAAAAUUUGCAUCAAUAUUUUCCUUCUCUCCCUCAAAAUGCUCUUAAGAAGAUUUACAAAGCUCGUUGUGAAUGACUGCGUUUGUUAAUGAUCAAUGGGAUUCCUGCUGACAUUCGCUGGUUAAUUGAAGCAAAGGUCUGAUUGGCAGGUGAGUUUUCUGAUCCAUUCAUUUCCUACAUGCCUGGUUUUGGUAAAAGUACAUUUGCUAAGAAAAGAAGAGGUAAGUGACUUGGCUCUUAAUGUUCUCACUGUGUAAGACUUGCUUGCAAAAAUCCACUUUGUAAAGCUUUAGGAAUGAUUUCUGUAAAUCGUGAAGAUAAAAUCAAAUUCGUUAAGGAUGGCAUGAGUAAAGAAUCGUUGGAUGAUAUCUUACGAUCUCUUGAGAAGCAUCCGAGCAGAUAUGUUCAACGUGAAAUUCAAAAUUUGUGGAAGUUGUUCCAAAAGGAAAGUGCACAAUUUAGUUUUGGGAAUCUGACUCUAAAAGACCUUGUUUGCCAGUUUAUAAGAAAACUGGAUGGGAAGCCUAUCCUCGACCCAUAGAGGGCGUUCAAGUCGUUACUGGACGUAAAAUCAGAGGAAGAUGUGAGCCACAAUCACAACUACCAGUAAAUAUCCUUUUAUUUUACUAUUCUUUUAUCUUUUGUAUUAUUAUUAUUAUUAUUGUGUUUUUUUCUUUCUUUUGUCUAAUCACUGUUUUCUUUUUCUUUUCAUUGUUUGCCUUUGAAUUAUUAAGCUAAAAGCUUCACGCGUCAUUUGACAAACACACCACCCCAUUUAUAGAUGUAUAUCAUUAUGUCCGUCACCAAGAUCCUUAAAUAGGAGCUUCUUUUUAAGCACUCACAAAUUGGUUCUUUUUAGAAUUGUUAUAAUGGCAGCAACUUCAAGCAGUCAACUUUAAAACAUUUGUAUGCUUUCUGGAUUUCGUUAUGGAAAGUAUAAGGAGUUCGUUCAGGCAGCCAUAGAUCUUGGUCGUGCUAUAGCAGAGAGGAAACUACAUCUUGUAUAUGGAGGAGGUGACCAAGGGUUAUCAAAACUUGUCUCUGAAACUACUUUCGUUCGAGGAAGCCAAGUGCUAGGCAUCAUUCCAAAAGCCUUAAAACUUUUUAGAUGUCUACUAGACUCACCAACUGGAGAAGAGUUAGUUGUCUCAGGUAUGCAAGAAAAAAUAUCUGAAAUGUUAAAUCAUGCUGACGCUUUCAUUUUCUUGCCAGGAGACCUUGCAACUUUGGAGGCGCUAAUUACAUUUGCUUCUUGGGCCCAUUUGAAUAUCCAUAAAAAACCCAUCGAUUUGUUAAAUGUUAAUAACUUUUAUGAUGUCUUAAUAACAUUUCUUAAUCAUGCAAUAAAAAAAUAUUUCAUUCUAUCCUCAGCGAAAAAACUCUUCAUUUGUGCUCCUAUUGCUAAAGAGUUACUUGAUCUUUUGCAAGCUUACAAACCAGAGCCAGAUCCCAUGACUUUGGCGUUGGAUUGGGCAACUGAUGACGAUGGCAGUAACUCUCGUAAAAAGUGUAAAUUAAAUUUAACUCUCCGUCUGUAAAUAUUUCCAACAGUGGCCAAGUGAUAUCUUCUAAACUCUACUCCUUUCUUUAGACAUUGAGGACAAUGUCUCUUUCAGGUUGGGGGGAGGGACUUGUUGAUAAUUGUAGAAUGUCUCAGUCCUAGUGAUGUUUUUACUAAUUUUUGUUGUAAAGACUAACUUUGGAUAAAAUUUUAAGUCAAAGAUGGCAGAAUAUAGAAUGUAGUGUCUCUAGAAACGCAUCUUCUUAACUUUUGUGUUUUCUUUCAAAAAAAAAAUGUUUCUAACUUUUUGUUUUCGGUCUUUUUCUCUUAAUCAUCUACUUAAGUUUCUGCAAUUAGUUCCAAUUUUUUAGUGUUUUCUUAAAAAAAAUUAUUUUCUUUUUCAGUGUGAUCUUUUAACAUUGGAUAACAUGAUGAUUUUCAAAUUUUGGUAUUUGUAUUAUCUUUGGCCUUGAGUUAUGUUACACUAUGUUUUUCCCUUUGCAUGUUGAAACGUAAAUUGAGAAAUUGAAUGAGUGAAAUUGAUUAAGCUAUUUUGAGGAAUGUACAUGUUAUGAAAAGACCAAGCGAGUUUUUGAGCCUAUUAUCCUUGGAGAGUAACCUUGUUUGCCUAUACAGCUUCACAAUUUAUUGUACAAGAUCUCAAUAUUUGCUUUAAAAAAGAAAGUUUGUGCAGCCGCAUCUAAAAGUCCAUUGAACUAGUGGAUAUGAAAGAUUAUAUAGAACCCUAAAAGAUGACAGAAGGUCAUCUUUGAUCCGUUUGAGCCUUUCUAGCCAACCCUAUUAUAAAGAAUACAUAGUUAACCCCUUUAAGCCUUUGAAAAAAAAAAUUCUUUGGUAACCUAUCAUAUUUUCCUACUCCAAUGAGGAGUAUCACCUUAUGUUUUAUGUUUUCUAUCACCCAAUUAUGUUUAAAAAUAAGGAUGAUUAUGUAUUCCUAAUAAUGGUGCUAUAUAUAUAUAUAUAUAUAAGAUGAUAUGUAUAUAUCAAUUAAUAAAAAAAAAAAGAAAACAAAAUCCAAGCAAAAAAAAAAGCACCUUAUAAUCUCCAAAAAGUCCCCUAUUUUUCAAACAUAUAUUUUUGUUUUCCCUAUUACCUUUUUUGUUAGCCAUAACCCUAGCCUACGUUACGUCCUAAAAAAAGUCCGUCUCGAUUUUUGGGAACUAUAGUAUGAAGUAAAAGCUGGUAAUAUGGACUAAAAGAUAUGCUGUGGUGAUGCAUAAAAAUAAAAAUAAAAAUAAAUUUUGCUAGUAAUUCAUUGGACUUGAGAUCAUUUUAUUUCUAAGCUGUGGGCAUUAUUUUUUUCAUCUUGGUGAGAGCGUGUGAUAUUAUUUUAUUAUUCUCUCAAAUUUACCAUUUUUUAGAGUGACAAAUUAAUUUGGGGUAUAUCUUCUUUUGAGAAAGUUACUCUUAAUCGUGAGAUUUUGGGGUUUGAUGUAUCAUUCUUAAAAGUGGCUUGAUCAAUGUAGCUCUGAUAAUUGAUCAUUUUACAGGAUUUUACUAAAUUAUUUUGUGCAGGUGUGAUUUUCUUUAUGCUGAAGAUAAUACUUAUGCUUUUAUUUAAUUAUUGUCAUUAAUCUGAUGGAAGAAGCAAACACAAUUUUAAAAAAAAAAUGAUUUUCAAUUUGAGUUUGAAAUUUUACUAAACUUUUAUCGCUUAAAUUGCUAGGGCCUAGCAAUAAGCUGGUUAGGGGGUGUGAUUGACACUAAAAAGUGUACAUUUAAUAAGGAUAAAAUUAUUAGUUUUUCACUUAUUGUGUCGAUCAAUGUGUUCAUUAUUUCUAAAUUAUUUUAAUACUCCCCAAAUAUAUUUUAUGUUAAAUUAAUUCAUAAUUUGUUAAUUUUUAUCUUGUAAAUAUUUUUCAGGAAUAAAGAUGGAAUUGGAAUUAAAAGCGGGAACAAAGAAGAACUACUGGAACACAAUUGAAGAGAUGUAAUAAUAAAUAAUAAAUAAUAAAUAAAAUAAAAUAAAAAUAAAAAUAAAAAUAAAAAUAAAAGAACAAAAGCAUGUUGGUGAUGGUCAGUAGGCCAUCACGCCUCCUGACCAUCACACAAUUCAAUAUAUAUAUAUAAUAUAAAAAUAAAAUAAAAUAAAAUAUUAAUAUUAAUAAAAUAAAAGAAAAGAAGAUGAUUCCCUUACCUAUAAAAGGCAAGGGGAUGCAAGCCGGAGGGGGAUCUUUUUCAAAAAGCCGAGAGAGCGAAUUUUGGAGAGCGGAAGCCGAAACUAAAGAUUUUCUUUCUUUCCUUGUUUCCGUUUGUAUCAAUUUUCUUUGUAAUAUAUUUCAAAAAGUUUAUCAAAUAAAAAAAGUGUUUUGUUUUCUUUCAAUAUAAGUAGCUAAUUUUAUUAAGCUGAGGUGAAGGGUGAAGGUCAAUGUUUCAAACUAUUAAUUAUUAUUAUUUUCUCAAAGGAGUUUUUUUUAAUUCUUUUCUAAUUAUUUUGUAUCAUGUUAAUUUAUAAAUCUCACUGGAUUUUGUGGUAUUUUGACAUAAUGUCGACACAUUAAUAUAGUGUGGCACAUUAGGUACUUUAUUCUAUAUUUAUCCACAUACAUAAAAUUAAAUGAUAUAAUAAUUAAUUGGUAAAAGUGAGGCAAAAUAUAAAUGAUAGAGUAUUAAAAUUAUAGUUUGAAUACAGAGAGUGGAUCCUAAACCUUAGCUUAUUUUUAAAUUGAUUUCAAAUAAUUUCUUUUCCCCACAAUUAAUUUUCUUAAUUUUACUAGAUUUAAAACUCCCUGUGGUUCGACCCUGGUCUCACCAGGUUAUAUUAUAACUAGACACUCUUAUACUUGAGAGUAAUACACUUUUGAGUCGUGUCAACUACUUAAAAGUGUUUAAUUUAAUCCCAAGUAUAAGAGUGUCUAGUUAUACUAUAACUCGGUGAGUCCGAGGUCGAUCCACAGAGAAAAAUACACUUUUGAGUCGUGUCAACUACUUAAAAGUGUUUAAUUUACUCCCAAGUAUAAGAGUGCCUAGUUAUACUAUAACUCAGUGAGUCCGAGGUCAAUCUACAGCGAAAAGAUUUAAUUUUUUUA
rnacentral:lncRNA from 1 species